UUGAGGCAGCAUGAUGAAGGUCAUCCACUCUGUAGAGCCAGUUGUCUGCAGCAGCUGUCUGCCAAGCCAGAGAGGAGGGGAACGGGAACAGAGAAAGGCUGAUUUACAGGGACACUCAGAGCUUUGAAGGCUGACUCCUACCUUGGCCUUGCCGGUCAUGCCCAAGAAGAAGCUGAAGGUCCGUCGCAAGGAGG